rnacentral:misc_RNA from 1 species
GUUUGGGGGGGGGGUGGGUGGGGUGGCGGUGGUGUUGCGGGGUGAAGGAUGUGGGAGGUUUUGGCGGGAACGGUGGAAAUUUGUUGUUAUGUUGUUAACUAACAAGGCAAUUUUUUAUGUAGUAGUGCAUUUUUUGUAUAUCAGCUGCUUCUUGAGAUUGGCGAAAACUUUAACAAAUCAUAACAUUAAUUUUUUUGGUUGAAGGAUUUAAGAAAUGUGAAUCUGCUUUUAUUCCCCUUCCAAUUAGAUGCUCAAAAUUCAUGUUCAUUAGUCCACAAAAUGGCUUCUCAGAAAAGGAUUUGAAAUUGGCUGUUCACUUCCAGGCACCAGUUUCAAAGGAGGGUUUCGGUUUUCAUAAAUAAGAUGACCUCUCCUCUAUCUCUCUAUUUGAUAUCCUCUCUUCCAUCGCGAAGUGCGGCAUUAGUGGCGUAUUCCUGGCAGAUUAACAACAAACAGCAGCUCAGCUUGGGAUUGCCUAAUAAUUCGGGGGACAAAAAAGAUCAGCUUGUGUUUGGAG